UCCUGUGUGUGUUUUGAAUUGCGUUUUAAAAUUGCCCAGCUGGAGACAAGGCUUGAUUAGAGCUGGAACAAUAGCUCCCUUUUAUUAAUAACGGGAAGGAUUUACAAUCGUACAUCACCUUCCUUGGAAAGCUUUCCAAACCAUUUGCAAACAUUCACAAAUUUCAGAUUGUGCAGCCUUUGGCUGUGAGGUGGUGCUGGAAUCUGCAUUGGCAGGUGUGCGAAUGUGGAGACUGUAACAGCAGAGAGUGAGGAUGGAUGAGCUGUUUUCUGGGGUCACAUCCAACUCCAGAAAAGAAACCCUGGUGAUUUAUAAUUUUUUUCUUGUCUCUGCUUGGAAGGCCAUAGUCCUGUCUAGUGAUAAAAGCCCUGUGUUUGGGGAGAGCCCUUGUGAGGUGAGCAGACACAGCAUCUGGCACGUGGUUGUAUAGGAGUUUGGGGGCAAGGGGAAGCAGGGCAGAAGCUGGCACUGUGAUAUUCCUAUUUUUUCCCAACAACAGGCAAU